CCUUUCCCCGCCCCCCCCCCUCCCGCCAUGGAGGUUUUUCCUCUCUCGGGCGGAGCCGCAGCCGCAGGAUGUGGCGCCGUGGGGCCCUGCUGGGGCUGCUGUGGGUCUCGGGGGUUCGCUCGUGGCCCGGCGGCUCCAACGCUUCGUGCCGGGGGUCGGCGCGGUGCCAGCCGGGCGUCCUCUUGCCCGUGUGGCACCCGGAGAACCCCUCGGCGGGCGACACUGCCGCCCGCGCCGUCGUCUAUUUGGUGGCCAUGGUCUACACCUUCCUGGGCGUCUCCAUCAUCGCCGACCGCUUCAUGGCCUCCAUCGAGGUCAUCACCUCCAAGGAGAAGGAGAUCACCGUCACCAAAGCCAACGGCGAGACGAGCGUCGGCACCGUCCGCAUCUGGAACGAAACCGUCUCCAAUCUGACGCUGAUGGCGUUGGGCUCUUCGGCGCCGGAGAUCCUCCUCUCGGUCAUCGAGGUUUGCGGUCACAACUUCCAGGCGGGGGAGUUGGGCCCCGGCACCAUCGUGGGCAGCGCCGCCUUCAAUAUGUUCGUGGUCAUCGCCGUCUGCGUCUACGUCGUCCCCGGCGGCGAAAGCCGUCGCAUCAAACACCUGAGGGUCUUCUUCGUGACGGCGUCGUGGAGUAUCUUCGCCUACGUUUGGCUUUACCUCAUCCUGGCGGUCAUCUCGCCGGGGGUGGUGCGCGUCUGGGAGGCGCUGCUCACCCUCCUCUUCUUCCCGCUCUGCGUGGCCUUCGCGUGGGCCGCCGACAAACGCCUCCUCUUCUAUAAGGACGUCUACAGGCGGUACCGCCCGGAGCCGUGCCGCGGCGCCGCCGUCAUCGUCGGCAUCGAAGGGGAACUCCCCAAAGGCAUCGAGGUGGACGGCGGCUGCCGCGACGCCGACGCUGGAGGCGGAGGAGCCAUGGUUGGAAGCGUUGGCGUUGGCGGUGGUCUCUCCUCGUCGCCGGCGGCGCAGAGCCAAGAGGAGAAGGAGUUGGAUGAGAGCCGCCGGGAGGUCAUUCAGAUCCUGAAGGACCUCAAGCAGAAGCACCCGGAGAAGGAGUUGGAGCAGUUGGUGGAGACGGCCAACUACUACGCUCUCCUCCACCAACAGAAGAGCCGAGCGUUCUACCGCAUCCAGGCCACGCGGAUGAUGACCGGAGCCGGCAACGUCCUGAAGAAACACGUGGCCGAGGUGUCCAAGAGGUCCUCCACCCUCCUGGAGGUGGGGUCGGAGGCCGAGGAGGCCCUUUGCAGCCGCAUCUGCUUCGAGCCGUGCCUCUACCACUGCCUGGAGAACUGCGGGGCGGUGGCGCUGUGGGUGCGGUGCCACCACGCGCCCGACGCCAACAACACCUUCUACGUGGACUACCGGACGGAGGACGGCUCGGCCAAGGCGGGCUCCGACUACGAGUACAGCGAAGGGACCCUCAUCUUCAAACCCGGGGAGACCCGGAAGGAGCUGAAGAUCGGAAUCAUCGACGAUGACAUCUUCGAAGAGGACGAACACUUCUUCGUGCGUCUCCUGAACCUCCGCGUGGGCGACGCCGAGGGGAUGUUCGAGGCCGAGUCCGAGGAGAACCCCAAAGGGAAGUUGGUGGCUCCGUUGGUGGCGACGGUGACCAUCUUGGAUGACGACCACGCCGGGAUCUUCGCCUUCCAGGAGCGGGUGGUGCACGUCAGCGAGAGCCAAGGGACGCUGGAGGUGAAGGUCCUGCGCAGCUCCGGAGCGCGAGGAACCGUCCUUCUGCCCUAUCGCACCGUGGACGGAACCGCCCGCGGAGGAGGGGUUCACUACCAGGACUGCGCCGGGGAGCUCGAGUUCCGCAACGACGAGACCGCGAAGACGCUGCAGGUGAAGAUCGUGGACGGCGAAGAGUACGAGAAGAAGGACAACUUCUUCAUCGAGUUGGGGCAGCCGCGCUGGCUCAAACGGGGCAUCUCGGCUCUCCUGCUCGCCCAAGCCGAGGGGGAGCGGAAGCUCUCGGCCGAGGAGGAGGAGGCGCAGCGCAUCGCUGAGAUGGGGAAACCCAUCCUGGGGGACAACUGCCGCCUCGAGGUCAUCAUCGAGGAGUCCUACGACUUCAAGAACACCGUGGACAAACUGAUCAAGAAGACCAACCUGGCCACGGUCAUCGGGACGCACUCCUGGAGGGAGCAGUUCCUGGAGGCCAUCACCGUCAGCGCAGGGGAGGAGGAGGAGGAGGAGGACGGCCGGGAGGAGCGUCUGCCCUCGUGUUUCGAUUACGUGAUGCACUUCCUGACGGUGUUCUGGAAGGUUCUGUUCGCCUGCGUUCCGCCCACCGAGUACUGCAACGGGUGGGCGUGCUUCGGCGUCUCCAUCCUCCUCAUCGGCGUCCUGACGGCGCUCAUCGGCGACCUCGCCGCACACUUCGGCUGCACCGUCGGCCUCAAGGACUCCGUCAACGCCGUCGUCUUCGUGGCCCUCGGAACGUCCAUUCCUGACACCUUUGCCAGCAAGGUGGCCGCCCUCCAGGACCACUGCGCCGACGCCUCCAUCGGCAACGUGACGGGUUCCAACGCCGUCAACGUCUUCCUGGGCUUGGGGGUGGCCUGGUCGGUGGCCGCCAUCUACUGGGCCGCCCAAGGGAGGGACUUUGAGGUCCAGACGGGGACUUUGGCGUUUUCCGUCACCCUCUUCACCAUCUUCGCCUUCGUGUGUAUCAGUGUCCUCCUCUACCGCCGCCGCCCCCACAUCGGCGGCGAACUGGGAGGGCCGCGGGGGCCCAAGGUCCUCACCAGCGCCCUCUUCCUGGGCCUUUGGCUCCUCUACGUCCUCUUCGCCGGCCUCGAGGCCUAUUGCCACAUCAGAGGCUUCUGAGGAGCACCGCGAGGAACCGAAGGCGACGUUGUGGGGAGAAGGGCAACUCACGGGGUUCUUCGGGGCUGUUCGGGGUCACCUCGAGGUUCUUCUGCCACUCCAGAGCCUCCUCGAGGUCCUCCUGACAGCUCCACGUCCUCUGGAGCUCCUCCUGUCCCUCAGCUUCCAGAAGGUCCCUCAGAUCCUCCUCGAGGUCCUCCUGUCCCCCAACUUCCAGAAGGUCCCUCAGAUCCUCCUCUGGAGCUCCUCCUGUCCCUCCAUUCCCAGAAGGUCCCUCAGAUCCUCCUCUGGAGCUCCUCCUGUCCCUCCACUCCCAGAAGGUCCCUCAGAUCCUCCUCUGGAGCUCCUCCUGUCCCUCCACUCCCAGAAGGUCCCUCAGAUCCUCCUCUGGAGCUCCUCCUGUCCCUCCAUUCCCAGAAGGUCCCUCAGAUCCUCCUCUGGAGCUUCUCCUGUCCCUCCACCCCCAGAAGGUCCCUCAGAUCCUCCUCUGGAGCUCCUCCUGUCCCUCCAUUCCCAGAAGGUCCCUCAGAUCCUCCUCUGGAGCUCCUCCUGUCCCUCCAUUCCCAGAAGGUCCCUCAGAUCCCCCUCUGGAGCUCCUCCUGUCCCUCCAUUCCCAGAAGGUCCCUCAGAUCCCCCUCUGGAGCUCCUCCUGUCCCUCCAUUCCCAGAAGGUCCCUCAGAUCCCCCUCUGGAGCUUCUCCUGUCCCUCCACCCCCAGAAGGUCCCUCAGAUCCCCCUCUGGAGCUCCUCCUGUCCCUCCACUCCCAGAAGGUCCCUCAGAUCCCCCUCUGGAGCUCCUCCUGUCCCUCCAUUCCCAGAAGGUCCCUCAGAUCCCCCUCUGGAGCUCCUCCUGUCCCUCCACCCCCAGAAGGUCCCUCAGAUCCCCCUCUGGAGCUCCUCCCGUCCCUCCAUUCCCAGAAGGUCCCUCAGAUCCUCCUCUGGAGCUCCUCCUGUCCCUCCACUCCCAGAAGGUCCCUCAGAUCCUCCUCUGGAGCUCCUCCUGUCCCUCCACCCCCAGAAGGUCCCUCAGAUCCUCCUCGUGACCCCCAUCUCUCCUCUCCCCCCAUUUUGGGGUCCUCUUCUCCCCCUUUUUUCCGCCCCCCAAGUGGCUUUUUUUAAGGGGGGACCCGUUUUUCACCCCCGGUUUGAUAGCGG